rnacentral:lncRNA from 1 species
CUGUUUGAUUGGUUUAGAAUGAGAGAGACCAGUACGGGGGUAAUCACGACCAGAUCCAGAUACAGGACGGAGCUGAAAGGGCCCAGCUGUGUCCCAGGCCCCCCUGGCCCCAACGGACCCCCCGGUCCUCAGGGUCCAGCUGGGCUACCAGGUCUGACGGGACCAAAAGGUGAAAAGGUAAGUGUCAUUUUAAACAGUGGUUUUUCAUGAGAUGUUUAGUGAAUGAUUGAGAAAACUAC